GACGAACGCUGGCGGCGUGCCUAAUACAUGCAAGUCGAACGCAGUGGGGACGGGUGAGUAACACGUGGGUAACCUCCCAUCAGAGGGGAUAACACUUGGAAACAGGUGCUAACCCGAAACUGAUGGAUGGACCAGGGGUGGAUUAGCUAGUAGGUGAGGUAACGGCUCACCAAGGCCACGAUGCUUAGCCGAUCUGAGAGGGUGAUCGGCCACACUGGAACUGAGACACGGCCCAGACUCCUACGGGAGGCAGCAGUGGGGAAUAUUGGGCAAUGGACGAAAGUCUGACCGAGCAACGCCGCGUGAGUGAAGAAGGUUUUCGGGUCGUAAAACUCUUUUGUUAGGGAGGCGGUAUCUAACCAGAAAGCCACGGCUAACUACGUGCCAGCCGCCGCGGUAAUUC
rnacentral:rRNA from 1 species